rnacentral:ncRNA from 2 species
AACUGCAUAUCGGGAACAGGUGUCUGGCUGCAAUAAUGCUUGCUGGCCAGACUUAAAAGGGAAGUCGGUGCGAUACCGACGCGGUCCCGCCACUGUAACGGAGGAGCAGGCAGCCUAUUCAGCCACUGAUUGAGAUCGAUCGGGAAGGCCGCUGUCAUGUGACGAUACCGGAGCCAGGAGACCUGCCUGUUCUGACAGCACUAC